rnacentral:SRP_RNA from 1 species
GCCGGGCAUGGUGGCGCACACCUUUAAUCCCAGCACUUGGGAGGCAGAGGCAGGCGGAUUUCUGAGUUCGAGGCCAGCCUGGUCUACAAAGUGAGUGCCAGGACAGCCAGGGCUACACAGAGAAACCCUGUCUCGAAAAACUGUGUAGCCCUGGCUGUCCUGGAACUCACUCUGUAGACCAGGCUGGCCUUGAACUCAGAAAUCGGCCUGCCU